rnacentral:rRNA from 1 species
CAGCCGCCACGGGAAUACGAAGGGUGCAAGCGUUACUCGGAAUUACUGGGCGUAAAGCGUGCGUAGGUGGUGGUUUAAGUCCGUUGUGAAAGCCCUGGGCUCAACCUGGGAAUUGCAGUGGAUACUGGGUCACUAGAGUGUGGUAGAGGAUAGUGGAAUUUCCGGUGUAGCAGUGAAAUGCGUAGAGAUCUGGAGGAAUACCGAUGGCGAAGGCAGCCAUCUGGCCUAAUACUGACGCUGAGGUACGAAAGCAUGGGGAGCAAACAGGAUUAGAUACCCGUGUAGUCCCUGUCUCUUAUAC